CGUAGGGGCGAAGCGUUGUCCGGAAUCAUUGGGCGUAAAGCGCGUGUAGGCGGUUCGGUAAGUCUGCUGUGAAAGCCCAGGGCUCAACCCUGGGAUGCCGGUGGAUACUGUCGGGCUAGAGUACGGAAGAGGCGAGUGGAAUUCCCGGUGUAGCGGUGAAAUGCGCAGAUAUCGGGAGGAACACCAAUUGCGAAGGCAGCUCGCUGGGACGUUACUGACGCUGAGACGCGAAAGCGUGGGGAGCAAACAGGAUU
rnacentral:rRNA from 1 species